GUGGAUUAGAUACCCUGGUAGUCCACGCCCUAAACGAUGUCUAUUAGUUGUUGGGUUUUAAUUAACUUAGUAACGAAGCUAACGCGCGAAAUAGACCGCCUGGGGAGUACGGCCGCAAGGUUAAAACUCAAAGGAAUUGACGGGGACCCGCACAAGCGGUGGAUGAUGUGGAUUAAUUCGAUGCAACGCGAAAAACCUUACCUACACUUGACAUGUCAGGAACAUUCCAGAGAUGGAUUGGUGCCCGAAAGGGAACCUGAACACAGGUGCUGCACGGCCGUCGUCAGCU
rnacentral:rRNA from 1 species